GAUCAGCAUCAUCAACCUCACCUGAAAACAUGCUAAAAAUGCAAACUUUCGGGCUCUACCCCAGACCUACUGAAUCAGAAACCUGGGGGGUGGGGCCCAGGAAUCUGUUAUAACAAGCCCUUCAGGUGAUUCUGGUAAAUGCUAAUGUUUGAGAGCCCGUGUAUUAGUGUAUAGUAACAAAGAAAGGAAAUGGUUAGUGCCAAGUGAGUGACAUGCGGCUUCUAAGCCCCAUCCGUAUAGGAGUUCACUGGAUUUGGGCCACUAGGGAGAGCUCUACAUCAGAUCUCCAGGCAUUUAGAUCCCAGAGGUCAGGGACCCCUGAAGAAGUAGAGGGAAAUAAUCCCACAUUGGAUCACAGCCCGUUUCAUAAUUUCAAGAAGAGAUGGAAAGCUGCAUGAUACGGUUGUUCCAAUAUCCAAGCCAAAGCAACAAAUGACCUUCAGAAUCCCAGCAUUAGACUCACCAGAUAACCACAAUGGUGUGAUGACUCACCUAGAGCCAGACAUCCUAGAGCAAAGUCAAGUGGGCCUUAGGAAGCAUCACUACAAACAAAGCUAGUGGAGGUAAUGGA
ensembl:lncRNA